AUUGAACGCUGGCGGCAGGCCUAACACAUGCAAGUCGAGCGGACUGAGGUAGCUUGCUACCAAGGUUAGCGGCGGACGGGUGAGUAACGCGUAGGAAUCUACCUGGUAAUGGGGGAUAACGUUCCGAAAGGAACGCUAAUACCGCAUACGCCCUAAGGGGGAAAGUGGGGGAUCUUCGGACCUCACGUUAUCAGAUGAGCCUGCGUAGGAUUAGCUAGUUGGUAGGGUAAAGGCCUACCAAGGCGACGAUCCUUAACUGGUCUGAGAGGAUGAUCAGUCACACUGGAACUGAGACACGGUCCAGACUCCUACGGGAGGCAGCAGUGGGGAAUAUUGGACAAUGGGGGCAACCCUGAUCCAGCCAUGCCGCGUGUGUGAAGAAGGCCUUCGGGUUGUAAAGCACUUUCGGUCAGAAAGAAGGGUGUUGAAUUAAUACUUCAGCAUUUUGACGGUACUGACAUAAGAAGCACCGGCUAACUCCGUGCCAGCAGCCGCUGUAA
rnacentral:rRNA from 1 species